rnacentral:lncRNA from 1 species
CCUUGAUGGUUCUGGUAUUUAGUUAUAGUAAACGUAAAAACACCAUAACCCAUCUUUCUCUUUAACAAAAAAGUAAAUGGGAUGUUGUUGUGGUUAAUAAUUCUCGUUUUAAGCAUUUCAUUAACUUGUUUUUCAAUUUCGGUUUUCUAGAAAUGUGGGUGCUGAUAGGGUCUGAGGUUGAUUAGUUCUGUGUUUGGUUUGAGGGG